CUCUUCCUGCAUCUUAUCCCAUCUCUCCCCCUAUCCCUUUCCAAGCCCGGCGCAGUCUAGGCCUGUGAAGACUGUUUCGUCAUGAGCCAGGGAUCCGGCCGAAGAUUUCUGCCUUUUAAUAAGGCAGUUUUUUCUUACCACUGUAACUUUUGCUGCUUUGCUAAAGUGCUCAUGAUGGAUAGGCCGGAUCUUUGUAAUAUAACAAUAAAUAAGGUCUUUUUACCUGCUCUUUUGUAAUGUGUCUCGAGAUAACACUUGUUAUGAGUUGACGCUAUACAAAUACAAAUUGAUUGAUUGAUUGAUUGAUU